rnacentral:rRNA from 1 species
CGAAAGCGUGGGGGAGCAAACAGGAUUAGAUACCCUGGUAGUCCACGCCCUAAACGAUGUCGACUGGUUGUUGGGGGUUUGACACUCUCAGUAACGAAGCUAACGCGUGAAGUCGACCGCCUGGGGAGUACGGCCGCAAGGUUAGAACUCAAAGGAAUUGACGGGGACCCGCACAAGCGGUGGAUUAUGUGGAUUAAUUCGAUGCAACGCGAAAAACCUUACCUACCCUUGACAUGUCCUGGAGCCUGCUGAAAGGCGGGUGUGCCCGAAAGGGAACGGGAACACAGGUGCUGCAUGGCUGUCGUCAGCCCAUGUCGUGAGAUGUUGGGUUAAGUCCCGCAACGAGCGCAACCCUUGUCAUUAGUUGCUACAUUCAGUUGGGCACUCUAAUGAGACUGCCGGUGACAAACCGGAGGAAGGUGGGGAUGACGUCAAGUCCUCAUGGCCCUUAUGGGUAGGGCUUCGCACGUAAUACAAUGGCGCGUACAGAGGGUUGCUAAGCCGCGAGGUAGAGCCAAUCCCUUAAAGCGCGUCGUAGUCCGGAUUGCAGUCUGCAACUCGACUGCAUGAAGUCGGAAUCGCUAGUAAUCGCGGAUCAGCAUGUCGCGGUGAAUACGUUCCCGGGUCUUGUACACACCGCCCGUCACACCAUGGGAGUGGGUUUCACCAGAAGCCGGUCGCCUAACCGCAAGGGGGGCGCCGACCACGGUGAGAUUCAUGACUGGGGUGAAGUCGUAACAAGGUAGCCGUA